UCCAAAACCCUAAUUCUGGCAUUUUUGCGUAAAACAGAUUUCCACACACCCUUGAGCUACUGCUGCCGUCUCUGCUAGGGUUUGGUCCUCCGUUUCGUUCGAGUUAGUUCAACCUCGUUGCUCUUGCACCUCUUCAAUCUGCUCGUGAGGCUGGUGCAGUGGUGGGCUUAGGUGUCAAAGUUAUUGUUGCUAGCUCAUUCCAGAUGUGAGAACCCUUUACAAUGGUGAGGAUAAUAGGGAUGUUGCAGCUUGAUGGAUUGGAUGGUAUUGGGCCCACUGUGGGGCCCAUUGCUGACGUACUUUUAUUAGUUAUGACUUUUCUUGUCCGAACGAGACCUAGUAUGAUUAUUUGUCUUUCCAGCGUAUUUUUGUUUGGGCCAUGUGGAGCCCUUUUUCUUGUAACCUGAGUAUAUCUGAUGUGUUGUAUACCUUUAUACCCUAAACCUCGUACUUUUUGAAUAUUCCUGUAUGUGAUGUUUUAUUAAUUUGAGGUUAUUCA